ACGGCGAGUGAAGCGGUAAAAGCUCAAAUUUGAAAUCUGGUACUUUCAGUGCCCGAGUUGUAAUUUGUAGAAUUUGUCUUUGAUUAGGUCCUUGUCUAUGUUCCUUGGAACAGGACGUCAUAGAGGGUGAGAAUCCCGUUUGGCGAGGAUACCUUUUCUCUGUAAGACUUUUUCGAAGAGUCGAGUUGUUUGGGAAUGCAGCUCAAAGUGGGUGGUAAAUUCCAUCUAAAGCUAAAUAUUGGCGAGAGACCGAUAGCGAACAAGUACAGUGAUGGAAAGAUGAAAAGAACUUUGAAAAGAGAGUGAAAAAGUACGUGAAAUUGUUGAAAGGGAAGGGCAUUUGAUCAGACAUGGUGUUUUUUGCAUGCACUCGCCUCUCGUGGGCUUGGGCCUCUCAAAAAUUUCACUGGGCCAACAUCAAUUCUGGCAGCAGGAUAAAUCAUUAAGAAUGUAGCUACUUCGGUAGUGUUAUAGCUUUUUGGAAUACUGUUAGCCGGGAUUGAGGACUGCGC
rnacentral:rRNA from 1 species